rnacentral:rRNA from 1 species
AACGAACGCUGGCGGCAUGCCUAACACAUGCAAGUCGAACGAGACCUUCGGGUCUAGUGGCGCACGGGUGCGUAACGCGGGGGAACCUGCCCUUAGGUUCGGAAUAACUCCCCGAAAGGGGUGCUAAUACCGGAUAAUGUCUUCGGACCAAAGAUUUAUCGCCUUUGGAUGGGCCCGCGUUGGAUUAGCUAGUUGGUAGGGUAAAAGCCUACCAAGGCGACGAUCCAUAGCUGGUCUGAGAGGAUGAUCAGCCACACUGGGACUGAGACACGGCCCAGACUACUACGGGAGGCAGCAGUGGGGAAUAUUGGACAAUGGGCGAAAGCCUGAUCCAGCAAUGCCGGGUGAGUGAUGAAGGCCUUAGGGUUGUAAAGCUCUUUUACCCGGGAUGAUAAUGACAGUACCGGGAGAAUAAGCACCGGCUAACUCCGUG